rnacentral:rRNA from 1 species
UACGUAGGGGGCUAGCGUUGUCCGGAAUCAUUGGGCGUAAAGCGCGUGUAGGCGGCCCGGUAAGUCCGCUUUGAAAGUCGGGGGCUCAACCCUCGAAUGCCGGUGGAUACUGUCGGGCUCGAGUACGGAAGAGGCGAGUGGAAUUCCUGGUGUAGCGGUGAAAUGCGCAGAUAUCAGGAGGAACACCGAUUGCGAAGGCAGCUCGCUGGGACGUUACUGACGCUGAGACGCGAAAGCGUGGGGAGCAAACAGG